CUGACCACCCACGGCUCCCACCAUUAGCCCUGCCGCUGACUUGCAGAAGUUUACAUUCUCAAUGUUAGAUGAGACUCAGAGAGUAGCUGGUCCAGACUCCCAGCCACGGCAGGAAUCCAGGCUCCACUGUGCACUGGAUGCUCAGUCUCUGGAGAGGUGUUCUUGAGGAACAGCCCUGGGCAUGGAGUGGACAGAUAUAUCCCAGAAGACUCUCAAAUUCCGAUUUCUCUGUGGACACCACAACAAGAUCACCCCUUCAAAUUGAUAUAUGGAAGCUUCCUAGAGAAGAUCAGGUCUUAGGAGAGAUGGAGGCCAGGGGAGCUCCCUGCUCAGGGGAACUGAGAUGGAUUUCUCCCAUCUGGUUACAGAAACUGAAUCAGUGGAAAGAGAAAUCCUAGGAUGCUGGAAUUUCAGGAACGUUUCCAGAAUGCCAAGAAAAAUAACUCUGUGAUGAACCAAUGGCAUCGUGAUGGCAGAUCUGGAAAAUGCAUUUGACUGUCUGAAUCACAAUAUCAUAAGAUCACAGAAACCUUAAAGUCAUCCAGUCUAUUCUGUGAUGGUACAGAUGGAGAAGCUGAGACCCUGGGAGGGGUAGAACCAGCUGGUAGCAGAGACAGGACUGGAACCGAAGGCGGCAGCCAUGUACCCGGCUCUGAUCGGAUGCCAGGCCUCAGCUGCUGGGCGCUUCUAAGAGCUGUCUGACAUGUGUAGCUCUGCCUUAUCAGCAGGAAGAAAAGAUGACAGCAAGCACUCUUUCCUGGCCAAACAUCCAUCAGGACCCACAUAAAUAUUUUCCCAGAAUCUGCAUGGCCGGCAUCUGCUGGCUGGCUUCCAUAGGACAGUAAAUAAUUCAGAAGACUGGUUGCUUCCUGACCACUUUCUUGGGUGUGUUCUCGGAUGACUGUGUUUUUUGGAGUGGACUUUAGAGAGACCUUGAUGAGGCAGUGAACAGAGUCCUUAUGGGACUCUCUGAUGGCAAUUCCUGGUCAGGAAAUAAUUGCCCGUGGGGUCUUGAUGUCAACGCAUUUGGGGUAGAUGAUUACUGUUACUCAGUCUGAAAGGCCUUUCAAGUGGGGCCAGGAAUUAGUUUCAGGGAUUAGGGUGGGAUGAAGGUAGAGACUCUGGGACCCACAAGUCAGAAGAAAUGAGCUCAAGUAUGGUAAAUUGGGUAAACUUGAUCAAAGGCAUGUUUGGGUCUUGGCAGAUAAGCUGCUGGGGAAGAGAAGAAUAUCAUUGGAGCUGGCAUGGCCUCAGGCUAUCAAAGUGGCCAAUCUUGGAGCUAAAAGCUCAGAGGGUAGUGGUGUCAACCCCGUUCAUUCUGACACCUCACCCAGAGCAUCUGACUGAGGCUGGUGGUGAAGUAUGAAGGCCUUAGUACCUGCCUUUGUCCAGCAUAAGGGGAACAAGUCUGGAACUGAAGGAAAAGCACUGGACCCAGAGGACUGGAGCUCAGAGGACCAGUACCAAUGGGGUCCUGUCUGAGCCUCACAAUGGCGAUGAUAGGGUGUCUGAUGUGUCUUGACUUCCAGCCUUGUUUCCUGAAAGAGGCCCAAUCUGACCUCCUUUAUGUGGCUUUUGAGGAUUAGGAACGGGACCCUUUAAUUCCCACCAUGGGCUUGUCACCUAGGCAUUUGACAAAAUCUUUUUGAACCAGCCUGUAAGUGUUGUACACUCUCCAGGGAUGGGAGCUCCUAAAUUCAUUUCCUCCUAGGCUGUGUUGUAAACUCAUUUCUCCUGAUUUGGAAGGAAACAGAAUCAUGGAAAGAGUAUGGGCACUGAAAUCAGAUGAACCGGAUUCAGGUACAAAUUGAACCAGCUGUGUACGCUUAGCCAAAUCUCAUUUUUCUCAUCUGAGGAAUGGAGAAAUGAUCACUGAAAGACUGAAACAAAGUAACAUGCAUAAAGUGGGAAGCACGGUUCCUGGCAAAACCUAGAUAAUCAAUAAGUGAUCACUGACUUAUUAUUCAGCUUGAAGGAAAUGAGAUCUAGGACUUAUCUUAGAUCUGUCUGAGUCAGGCUGUGUGUCUUUGGGAAGUUACCUCCCACUCUGUGCCACAGUGGAAGCCACCCUCAUCACUAACAGGGGGAAAAUAUUGUCCACUUCACAGGCCGUUGUGAGGUUUUAAUGGGAUGCUUGUUACAAUUCUCGGGCUUGUACUUAUUCCUAGGUUUAGGGGAAAUUCUCAUUUUAUAAAGGAUUAAAAAACUGUGAAUUCACCCUCUACAUCCUAAUAGAUGUGAAAGACUCUGAUGUGAGGGUAGAAGAGUUCUCCUGUCCAUCCCUUCCUUUCUUUACCCCUCCCUAAUUCAGGCCUUACCCCCUCUCAAAUGGACCCCCUCCCCUUAGAUCUCUCUCCUGCAGUAUCUCUUGCUCCAGUUGAUUUUGUCCACCACAAAAGGACACACAUAAACAAAAAGCUGACCCCUCCACUCUCCUAUUCAAAUCCUCCUGUUGUGGUGGUCUUCAGGAGGUUCCAGAGUUCAGCCAGGCCAGCCUUCCCACUCUAUCUUCUAGAUUCUUCCCUGAAGCCCCUUAAUUUACAUGUACGUUUGCAUUUGCAUGUGCAUCAGAAAAAGGUCCCUGGGUUCCAAUCAGCUGAUGAAUAGUUAUAUGGGACUCCUUUGUCUGUUGGGUCAUCUUCUGGCCCUUUCUCUGGGCUUUGGGUUCCCUAUCUGGGAUGUCUAGGAUUGAACUAGAUGAUCUCUCAGGGCCUGCUGUGGUCUGAAUGAUGGCAUUUCCUCCAAAAUUCCUCUUGAGGGUUGGGGGUGUAGCUCGGUGGUAGAGUGCUUGCCUAGCUCAUGCAAGGCCCUGGGUUCAAUCCCCCACACAAGACAAAACAAAAGUUCAUGUUGGACUUAAUUUUCAAUGUAAUAGUGUUAAGAGGUGUGGGCUUUGGGAAGUGAGUGAUUAAGUCAGGAGAGGUCUGUCCUCAUGAAGAGGAUUAGUGGGCUCAAGGUUGAAGGGACCGCUGUCUUGUCCUGCCUUCUGCCACGUGAAAACACAACAACAAGGUGCCAUCUUGGAAGCAGAGAGCAGCCCUCACUAGACUCCAGUGUUGGCUUCAUGUUUUACUCUCCAGCUUCCAGAACCAUAAGAAACAAAAUUUUCUUCUUUAUAAAUUACCAGUCUGUGGCAUUUUCUUAUAGCAGCACAACUAGAUUAAGGAAGGGCCUUUCAGCUCUCAGGCAUUUUAACAAAAUUUGAUGCCCUCCUGGGUGACUGGGAAUUCUUUCUCUUUUUCUCUCUCAUCACAUUCACACAUAUACACAAAUAUGCAGAUACCCAAGCACUCAUAUGCAAAUUUUGUACAAGUACAUACUUCCUGUAUGUUCAAACAAGUAUUUUCAUGCACACAUUCUUAUGUACACGUGCAAAUAUUGCUUCAUAAGGACUCAUGCUUUUCUCUUUUCUAAACAUCCUCACAUAUAUAUGAAAACUAAGUCUGUUUUAUUCCACUGAAUCCCUAGCAUCCAGAGCAGAAAAAGUCCUAAGAACACAUUUGUGGAAUGAAUAAUGAAUGCUCUCCCUCCUCCCAAUGAUGCAGGCAUUUAUACAUGUUAUAUCCGUAAUAUGCAACUAUGAGCUGCACACACUCAAGGGUGUGGAUGCGCUGACACACAUUAGAUAUGCCCAACACUCUGAUUCCCACCCACAUCCCGGUGUCUCAGAUCUCCUUCAAGAGCUGAGAGCUAAGGGAAGUCUUUUCCCAAUGCCACCCUGAAGGUCCCCUUGUCAGGUUUGGCUCAGGGACACUCACAGACCUUGGUCCAGGUGUUGGGGAUAACUCCACAGCUUUAUAUUCGGACAGUGCUCUGUAAAAGUCAAAUCACUUUAUCACAUGAUAUUCCACUUGGUCUUCUCAGCUGGCCUGAAUGGAGACUCCUAGCAGUGGUUAGCUGUCCUCUCGUGUUGCAGCCAGGGUAACAGGGACCUGGGGAGCUUAGGCCAUCUGUCCAAGGUCACAAAACCAGCGAGCAAGUGAGUUGCCUAAGCAGAACCCUCUCUCCCCUUCUCUCCCCACUCUCUCCUUUGCCUCUCCCAGUGACUGUUUUAAGAUGAUUAUUUAUUCUUCAGUUGUUUUCUCCCUCUAAUUGAUUUCUUUCUUUAUCUUUUUUUUUUUAGUCCCCUGUUUCUGCCUAACCCUAACCCUAGGCCAUUUUCUUCUUUGUGGGGUCCAGAUCUGGUUUUCAAAAAAUGCUUCUGCAUUUUCUGCCUUGAUCAACUCUGAGGAUGCAGGUUUCCCCUUUGCAGCAACCUCCCUUUACUCUGCUGCUAGAACAGAUGGCCAGCUCCCCUCUAACCCUUUAUAUUUAGCUGUGGGAGUCAGAUUCCAGUCCAUCGUAUCUCCCAAAUACAGGGAAAACAUCAAGCUAUCCAACGAUUCCAUUACCACCACUUUUCCCAGGCUUGAGUUAAGGGAGGAAGUGGACAGAGAGGCACCAUGUACUUACAGCUCUUUCCAGAAAUCCCAUAUCUAAUCCCCCACUGAGUCCUUGGCCUCUCCCACCUUUUUAAUAUGCCGGAGGUGGGUGGUCAGCAAGGAACCACGAGAGCAGUUUUUAGCACCACCUUUGCCGUCCUCACAGGGUGGUCUUGCAUUGCACUUGGGGUGUGUUAUCCAUUAUCUGGGGACCUCACAUGAUAUCUGGACUAAUGUAGUUAAAUUUUGAGAUUGGCUUUGUGUGCUGUUUUUCUCCCCAAGGCAAACCUUCGAGGUAGAUAUUACUAUCUUCAUUUAAUGGAUGAGAAAACUAGUCUGAGGCUAAGCAAGUAACUGUAAGCAUACAACUAGUUGGAAUUGAAGAUUGCAUUAAUAGGAUUCUAAAACCCGAGUUUUUCUUAUCUUACCAUAAAGACUGAGGUUUUCCCUCUGUGGUUGGUGGAUAGCCUGAUGUUUGAGUGCCUACCACACAGACAGCUUGAACUUCUGUGUCAAAUUCGGGUGUGACUGUCAGCUACUUAUUAAUCUUCAAGCCUGUUCCUAUCCACACCUCUUUCAAUGGGAUGUCAUUUAGGGCAAAAGCCUUCACCAUGCCUGGUGAAUGGCUUUGGAAGAACCUAGCAAAUAGUCUGUCUUGUGCUUGACCACAUCAUGAGUUCCCCUCCUAGUAUUUUUCCAAAGCUUUUAUUUAUUUUUUUCCCCCUGCUUUUUAAAAUCUUGCUGAUUAUUGUAUUGGAGAGAGACCCUUGAUUGACAUGACCCCUUGUCAGCACCAAUAACACAUUUUUAAAAAAAUGUUCAUUUGUUGACUCAUCUGUAUUUGGUUCUCUUUGUUUGCAGUAGUUCUUAGUAAAUAUUGAAGGUUUGUUGGAUUCAUA